rnacentral:rRNA from 1 species
GAUGAACGCUGGCGGCGUGCCUAAUACAUGCAAGUCGAACGAGGUGCUUUUGUAGCAAUACGAGAGUAUCCUAGUGGCGAACGGGUGAGUAACGCGUUGGUGACCUACCCCAAAGUGUGGGAUAACAGUCCGAAAGGAUUGCUAAUACCGCAUGUGGUCUUCGGAUUUAGAAACUGAUGACUAAAGGAGCAAUUCGCUUUGGGAGGGACCUGCGUCCCAUCAGCUAGUUGGUGAGGUAAUGGCUCACCAAGGCUACGACGGGUAGGGGACCUGAGAGGGUGACCCCCCACAAUGGAACUGAAACACGGUCCAUACACCUACGGGUGGCAGCAGUAGGGAAUAUUGCACAAUGGGCGAAAGCCUGAUGCAGCAACGCCGCGUGUGCGAUGAAGGCCUUCGGGUCGUAAAGCACUUUUCUGGAGAUGAGCAAGGACAGUAUCUCAGGAAUAAGUCUCGGCUAACUACGUGCCAGCAGCCGCGG